GAAAAAAAGAACUCCGAAGAAGUUGGAUGAUUUACACUACACUGUUGACAGCUUCAUUUCAUUUCAAUUCUAACUUUCCCUCUUCUCUCACUUCGUUCAUCAUUUCCUUUGCCACCGUCUUUUCUCCGAUCCUUUGCCACCGCAACGAUUUCGCUUCCAACUAUCACCGGCAAGCAAACUCACACUAUCCGCCACAGCAGCGGUGAGCUAUGACCCUAUCCGGAUUGUUCUGAUUCUACAUUCUCCUCUUCACUUUCUAUUUCUCAGUUCCAACACUUCACCUUCAUUUCAAGUUCAAUUUUUCCACUUCUUUCAUUCAAAAAUCACCAAUUUCUCCCAUAAACCAUACACUCUAGAAGAAAAUUUUACAUAUAAGUCCUUCAAGUAAUUUUGGAUAUGAUUUUGGGGUUGGGGUUAGUGCUCAAAGGAAGAAGAAGAGAACCCAUCUCUUGAAAGUUGUUCAUGGAUACUCCUUGAGAUUCAGUGGAAAUUGCUUCGGUGAUCAUUCCGGAAGGCAUUGCUAGGAACGAAGUUGAUUCGUCAUAGUUAUUCAAAGUCACUGAAUAGAAAGCUUCUAGCAGAGUUAAAGAUCUGUCGAUGUCACUCUUUUGAUUUAAGCAUUGCAAAACAUGUUUGAGUAUCUUCUUGAUUCUGAAAGCAAAAUGGAAACAAAGUAGAUGGUAAUGAUGUCCCUGGUCACUCUGUCAGAGUUGGGCACAAUGUACCUGUUGCUGCUGGUGCUGGGGAUACAAACAUAUGCAGGGGGUUAUAAUUCAGUUGUAAUGGGAUAGAUUUCAACGAACAUGUUCGACAGUCAACUUUGAAGAUUGAUCAAGUUGUGCUGCGCCAAGGUCUUGUUCAUCCGAUCACCUGUGUUCCACAUCAUAUAGCGCUAGAAACAGACCUUCUGAGAAGUAAUCUCCUAUAUAUAAUUUUGGAUGGUAUAAUUCACAUCAACUAAGUUCUAUUAUCUAUGAUGAUCCCUGUUUCUGGAAAAAGGAAACCUGAGGCUGACUUGUUCACUCAAUCAAGAGUUGGUGUUUCUCGAAUAUACAAGCUUAUCGAGGGAACCGGAUAUCAAGGAACAACUUUAUGUCCUCAAAUGUGCGAAAAUUUGAUACUACAAGAUUGACCAAAUUUGUAAUAGCUUUCUUAACGUACUGCACAGAGGUCCUUGCCUUGCUUCCAUUUGUUGCACCUGAUGAACCACUUUAUUUAAUCUAUGCUAUCAAUCCAGUAGUUCAGGUUAGGGCUGGUCCACUGGAGGCGAACUUCAAAUCCUGGAUUUCAAGCAUGUUACAAAGUGAGGGUGACGGUACACCUCAUGGGAAUGGAAUGUAUCAACAGGCGUCAAAUGAACCUAUUCAUACAACCCAAGUCCAGUCAAUGGACUUAAAUGGCACAUUUUAGAAAAAUGUAGAUGUUCAGCCCUACCUCAAUGAUACGACAUCAGUGGAUUUAAAUGGAACAAAUCACCAAUUGCCAGAUUAGCCUUUAUCGCAUAAUGGUAGAUCAAAAGUAAAGCUACAUGCUGCAGGUUUUGCAGAUUCCUUUACCCUCUCAAAACAUGAUCUGGAGAAAGUUCAGGCUGACUAUUUAUCUGCGAUUGCAUUGCAACUUCUUUUAAAGCUAAAGAGACACCUAAAACUCAUGUAUAGUCUCGAUGAUGCCAGAUGUAAGGUGAAACUAUAUAAUUCACAAUUAUCAUAACUAAUUCACCUACCGGGAUGAGAUGCCUAACUGUCCUCUAUCUUUGGGAUGGUUUCCUAUUUUUGUUUAGGCUCCAAACGAGCCACCAAAACCUGGAGAUGUUUUUUCAAGACUGAAUGUUCCAUUUAAUAUUGGUGAAUCUCUGUUCAGUUUGCCUGCAUAUAUCUGCAAGAAUUAAUGCAAAGAAUAUCAGGAGUUUAAGAAUGCAAUGCAUUGAAGGACACAGUGGAUUAUUCACUCUACACAGCAGAUAUAGAACGGAAGUGACAAACACUCUGAAAUGUUCGGAAAUCUGGACCGAUGGUAGGUUCUGAUAUUGCUGAAGGCGACAAUGAGGAUAGGGCUGGUGCAAUGCGCAAUAUAGUGGCAACAUUCUUUUUUAUGGAAAAUUCAUCUUAGCCAUCCAAAUCAUGUUUUGAUUGUUUUCUUUGAUUUUGUUUCAGUUGCACAUAAUUUGUUGUCUAUUCAUUAUUAUUUAGUAAAGUUUGGUUUACUAAAUCAGUUGCACAUAAUUUCACCUAAGAUUCUUUGUUGUUAUGGCUUAAAUUCUAAUGUUAUGCUUUUUCACAAUAGA